GACGAACGCUGGCGGCGUGCUUAACACAUGCAAGUCGAACGGAAAGGCCCUGCUUUUGUGGGGUGCCCGAGUGGCGAACGGGUGAGUAACACGUGAGUAACCUGCCCUUGACUUUGGGAUAACUUCAGGAAACUGGGGCUAUUACCGGAUAGGAGCUCCUGCUGCAUGGUGGGGGUUGGAAAGUUUCGGCGGUUGGGGAUGGACUCGCGGCUUAUCAGCUUGUUGGUGGGGUAGUGGCUUACCAAGGCUUUGACGGGUAGCCGGCCUGAGAGGGUGACCGGCCACAUUGGGACUGAGAUACGGCCCAGACUCCUACGGGAGGCAGCAGUGGGGAAUAUUGCACAAUGGGCGGAAGCCUGAUGCAGCAACGCCGCGUGCGGGAUGACGGCCUUCGGGUUGUAAACCGCUUUCGCCUGUGACGAAGCGUGAGUGACGGUAAUGGGUAAAGAAGCACCGGCUAACUACGUG
rnacentral:rRNA from 1 species